GAAAUGUUUAAAUUGUCCGAUCGAAAUCGAAUUCUAUUAUUUAAAGCGUUUAAAGUUAUUACCGGAGAAUUUAUGUGUGACAUGAUUAUACGGUGCAAUAAUGAACGUACUCACUUCUAGCUCAUCCCCUUUCAAGAGCGGGUCUCGUUUCUUCAAGUACCGAAUUAAAACAGGAUUUUUUUCUGAUUGGAAAUUUUAUUUAU